rnacentral:rRNA from 1 species
CCUACGGGCGGCAGCAGUGAGGAAUAUUGGUCAAUGGGCGCGAGCCUGAACCAGCCAAGUCGCGUGAAGGAUGACUGCCCUACGGGUUGUAAACUUCUUUUAUAAAGGAAUAAAGUGAGUCUCGUGUGCCUUUUUGUAUGUAUUUUAUGAAUAAGGAUCGGCUAACUCCGUGCCAGCAGCCGCGGUAAUACGGAGGAUCCGAGCGUUAUCCGGAUUUAUUGGGUUUAAAGGGAGCGUAGAUGGGAUGUUAAGUCAGUUGUGAAAGUUUGCGGCUCAACCUUAAAAUUGCAAUUGAUACUGGCAGCCUGGAGUACAGUUGAGGUAGGCGGAAUUCGUGGUGUAGCGGUGAAAUGCUUAGAUAUCACGAAGAACUCCGAUGGCGAAGGCAGCCAACUAACAUGCCACUGACAUUGAUGAUCGAAAGUGUGGGUAUCAAACAGGAUUAGAUACCCCUGUAGUC